rnacentral:pre_miRNA from 1 species
CACUCAAAAAGGUGCCAUUCAGGUAAAUUAAAAUAUGAUUGGCACUUUUUUGAGUGCA